rnacentral:rRNA from 1 species
GUGCCAGCCGCCGCGGUAAGACAGAGGGUGCGAACGUUGUUCGGAAUUACUGGGCGUAAGGCGCGUGUAGGCGGUCGGGCAAGUCGGAUGUGAAAGCCCCGGGCUCAACCCGGGAAGUGCAUUCGAUACUGCUUGGCUAGAGUACUGGAGAGGAUGGUGGAACUCUCGGUGUAGAGGUGAAAUUCGUAGAUAUCGAGAAGAACACCGGCGGCGAAGGCGGCCAUCUGGACAGAUACUGACGCUGAGACGCGAAAGCGUGGGGAGCAAACAGGAUUAGAAACCCUAGUAGUCC